rnacentral:rRNA from 1 species
UACCAGCACCCCGAGUGGUCGGGACGCUUAUUGGGCCUAAAGCAUCCGUAGCCGGUCCUACAAGUCUUCCGUUAAAUCCACCUGCUUAACAGAUGGGCUGCGGAAGAUACUAUAGGGCUAGGAGGCGGGAGAGGCAAGCGGUACUCAGUGGGUAGGGGUAAAAUCCUCUGAUCCAUUGAAGACCACCAGUGGCGAAGGCGGCUUGCCAGAACGCGCUCGACGGUGAGGGAUGAAAGCUGGGGGAGCAAACCGG